UACGUAGGUGACAAGCGUUGUCCGGAUUUACUGGGCGUAAAGAGCGCGCAGGCGGUCGUUCAAGUCGGGUGUGAAAGCCCCGGGCUUAACCUGGGAAUGGCAUUGGAAACUGGCGGGCUUGAGUGUGGCAGAGGGGGGUGGAAUUCCACGUGUAGCAGUGAAAUGCGUAGAGAUGUGGAGGAACACCGAUGGCGAAGGCAGCCCCCUGGGCCAACACUGACGCUCAGGCACGAAAGCGUGGGGAGCAAACAGG
rnacentral:rRNA from 1 species